AUUGAACGCUGGCGGCAGGCCUAACACAUGCAAGUCGAACGAGUGGCGGACGGGUGAGUAAUGUCUGGGAAAGUGCCUGAUGGGGGGGGAUAACUACUGGAAAAGGUAGCUAAUACCGCAUACCAUCGGAUGUGCCCAGAUGGGAUUAGCUAGUAGGUGGGGUAAAGGCUCACCAAGUCGACGAUCCGUAGCUGGUCUGAGAGGAUGACCAGCCAGACUGGGACUGAGACACGGCCCAGACUCCUAUGGGAGGCAGCAUUAGGUAAUAUUGCACAAUGGGCGAAAGCCUAAUGCAGCCAUGCCGUGUGUAUGAAGAAGGCCUUCGGGUUGUAAAGUACUUUCCGCAGAGAUGCGGCACCCGCAGAAGAAGCACCGGCUAACUCCGUGCCAGCAGCCGCGGUAAUUC
rnacentral:rRNA from 1 species